rnacentral:rRNA from 1 species
UACGUAGGGUCCGAGCGUUGUCCGGAAUUACUGGGCGUAAAGAGCUCGUAGGCGGUUUGUCGCGUCUGCUGUGAAAUCUAGAGGCUCAACCUCUAGCGUGCAGUGGGUACGGGCAGACUGGAGUGGUGUAGGGGAGACUGGAAUUCCUGGUGUAGCGGUGAAAUGCGUGGAUAGUCUGGAGGAACACCGGUGGCGAAGGCGGCAUCCUGGACCAACACUGACGCUGAGUGAGCGAAAAGCCAGGGGAGCAAACGGG